GAAUAUUCUAUUAUCUAAAAAAUUUCUACUUUUUUCUUAACAAAAUUUUUAUGGUUUCCAUUGAGGAUUGAAGCAAGAGAACCAACAAAAACAGAAAGGGCUAAAUUUCACAACAGAAGGCUGCAGAAGAAGUGUGCAAGGAGAUGCGUGGAAGCAGGAGAUGCGAUUCAUCUUGCAAAUCUAGAAAAGUAUGUGUCCACCAUAUUUGCAGCUAGCGCAAGGCUAACGUAUGCUAUAGCUACUAUGAUUCUUUCAAACAGCACAAGGAAUAGCAAGAUCAGCAUGUAAAAUUGGCUCGUAUAAAGUUGGAAAUUGUUGAAAAGGAGGAGAAGCGUGUAUUACCAAGUGAUUUCAGAUGCCAAAAUAAAUGGAUCAGUGCUGGCACAACAUAUAGAAGAUUUGGCAAUUAUAAAUCUAAUUUUGUAUCAUCAUACUUGUUUAAUGAAUACUUGUAAAUUUAUUCACUCU